rnacentral:piRNA from 1 species
CCCCACUGCUGCUGACUCUAACUGUGUUCC